CACACCUCUCCCCACUUUCACUUCGCCUUGUGGUGGUGCGGUUAGAGGUUGUGGCAUAGUCAAGUUGGCGUGGCGUCUGUACUGUAAAACAAAAAAAUGCAUAAAGUGCAAAUAUUGCCAACCGGUGCAGACCAAAAUCGUUUAAUCAAUUUUCAGUCUCAAGAGUCUAUGACAAACCACCUACCUCAUGAUGUUGUGUUAAUGUGAACUAUUAAUACCGUAUACUUCUUUUUUAAAUUUAAUUUCGUGGGUGAUAAACGUUGGUGUCGUUACAAUAACUGAUUAGUGCCUUUUUCAUCGUUUGAACUACUUCAUCGUUGGGGUUAUUAUCAUUUGGGUGGGCAAUGUCUAUGAAGAAGGCUUCUUUCCUCUGUUUGUCCUGGAGUACGAUGUCAGGUCUGUUGGCCGCUACUGUCUUGUCCGUUCGAAUCGUGAUGUCCCAGUACACUUUCCAGCUGUCUGUUUCAAUGACUGGUUGUGGUACAUAUGUGUAAUAUGGGUCUUCAGAUUCUUGCAGUUUCAGUUUAGUUAGUUUCUUCCAGAGGUGUUCCAAGUUCAAGAGUCCUCUUCCUCCGGAUCGUCGUGGUAGGUAGAGUCUGAUGACUGACGCAUUUGUGUGAUGGAUUCGGUUUGCUGUCAUAUCGGUUCUGAUUUUUCUAUCGAUUCUUUCUAGAUCUGUUUGCGACCACUGUAUUACCCUAAAUGUGUAGGUUAUUGUUGGUAUUGCCCAGGUGUUUACGGCUUUCACUUUGUUUUUUCCAUUCAGACUUGUGUUUAGGAUCUUGUUUAUUCUUGUAUGUAGUUUCUUCUCUGUUUUAUCUUUCAGUUCUUUUGUGUCUCGUAUUAGAUGUUGGUCCAGUCCUAAGUAUUUGUACUUUUCAGUGUCGUCCAAUUCCUUGAUGUUGAGGUGUUCAAUGUUCUGGCUGGUCGUUUUUUUCCCUUUUUUGUAGAUGAUCUUGGCACACUUGUCAUAUCCAAAUUUCAUACGGAUGUUCUCACUGAAUGUUUUUGUGAUGGUGAGCAGUUUUCCUAGAUCUUGUUCAUUUUCUGCAUAUAACUUGGCAUCGUCGACGUACAAGAGGUGGCUGAGUCGUUGUGUUGAUGAGCCUUUUAGUUUGUAGCCAAGGUUAGAGGAUUGAAGCAGUCUUGAGAGUGGAUUUAGACAGAUUAUGAACCAGAUAGGGCUCAAGGAGUCUCCUUGGAAGAUGCCACUUUCAAUCGGAAUUGGGUUGGUUUUCACAGAUGUUUUUUGGUCAUUAUUAACUAAGAGUUGUGUUCGCCAUGACUUCCGUAAAAUCAGUGGUUAAGUUUUUUAAAACUUUAUUAAUUUGUUUAAGAAAACGCUUAAAUAAAUAAACAUUUACUUCAAGUAAUCAAAGCUUAUAAAUUCACGACGUUGCCACUGGCUUUUGUACAAUUUACUUCAGUAGUACUCCAUCGAAGUGUCAGCUGGGAUUGACCGACCGUGGUAGCUUUGGAAGAUCGUCAGGAUGCUGGUAACCGCUACCGCCGUGCACUCUAUGACACUGUACUAUAUAACGUUAAGGGGUGAUUCAUAUAUAACGAACUCUUUCCAACUUCUUACAUUAGUGAGCCAAUCACCUAUAAUACGCUCUGGAGCUGCCGUAAAAGUCAUGGUGGCAGUACCGCUAUACCAAAAAGAUAAAAAAGGAGUAUGCAAAAAGUACUGAUCCGGAAAAGCUGGUCCCCGUACCGCCGGUAGAAUAAAUUGCCGCAAAAAAGAACCUGUAGUUAUACUCUCCGCAUUUCCAUAAAUCAUUUCGCCGCGUGGGACGUUUAUAUCGAACGCUUCAGUCUCUUUAUUCCAAAUAAAGUCACGUUUUUCACGAUAUGCUAUGUACAAUGGUAAGGUAGUGACAAUAUCGUUUCCCUUCAACUCAUAUAUCCGUGCAAGUAGUCUACGCUCGUUCAAAAAUAAUACCAAUUCAGCACUCUGCAUACGCACUACUUCUAAAUUCGGCCCAAUAUCAUUUGUUAUAAUUAUUCCAGUCUCUCUCGCAUUAUCAUAAGCGGGACCCUGAGGUAUACUCACCAUUCCGGGGUUAAGCACUACUGAAUUAGUAAACCCAAAGAUUUCCAAAUUAUUGUAUACAAGAUAAGCCAUUUGCGGGAAGAAUACUGCCUCAAAAUCGUCUAGUAAGGGAACCAAUUCAUUAAAAGUGUCAGGAUUCAAUCGUUGAAUAUCUCCCUUCGAAAAACAAUAAUUGAAUAUUUCCUUUGCGAUAUGAUUAGACUCAAUGGAUUCAACUAUAACUUUCAAACAACGGCGAGGAACAUACGCAUCUUGCACUCCAUCACGCCGGAUCCAAUCGCGAAUACAUAUAUACAGGCUUAUAAUACGUUGCAAUUCCGCGCAAGUCGCGCUUUCUGCGAUUGGCUGUCGUAAAAUUUUCUCCGAUGGUGUCAUAACUUCUGGUAAACGUAACAUGAACUUAUAAACCGAAUCCGCCUUAAUUUUUAAAAUUAAAGGUGAAUUUAAACUAGCAUCAUAGCCUCCUACUCCCAUUAUGUUUUCUAAUUCUUGUCUUCGAGCAUCACUUAGCCUAAAACCUGUCUCACCAUACUGUACUAUGAAUAUAUUUAAAUUCAAAAAGAAUUGACACCAUUUAGGAGCCAAAUACUGUAUCAGAGCUUGUAUCGCAUCUGCCUUAUUCUUCAAGCGCACCGCGUUAGCUAAACAUCUUUGAAUCAACUCAAGAAUAGGAGCUUGAGGUACGUCGUUAAAAUCCAUCAUAUCUUGUAUGUUCGCAUAUUGGUCUAGACCUGCAUAUAACGGUAGUUCAUUUACUCCAAUAUAUAAAGGAUCAUCAACUAUAUACACCCCAUUCACAUCCGCAUUCACCCAUCCUAGACCAUCUACAUCAUGAGUUUCUAACUCUAACCACACGUCACCCCCGCCACGUGGACUCUCCGCGUUCAAGGGGUGAUGUUGGUCACCGUUUGUAUAUCCAAGCCGUUGCAGCAUACGUCCUAUAAUUACAUCCGUUUCUCGUGCGCUACGCAACGUAAUAGUCCUAAAACCUGGUGUUGUAGAAAACAAUAACUUUGCCAUUAAACCAGAAACACCACUGAGUAUAGCAUUCUCUUCCUUAUUAAAUUCUAUAUCAAUCAAAACCUGUUGUGGUAAUGCCAUAGCUGUCAUUAUCUUUCUGAAAUCAUCAUAAUUCUCGCUAGUAACUGGACUAUUAAUAAUUUUUGCUACUGGUUCCGCGCGAUUAGAAUUUAUUUCCAUAGUUUGGCUAACUUGCGAGAUGUUGACAGAGCUUAAGGUAAAAAUAGGAAAGACGAAUUGCAUUGCGUACGCGACUGAUAAAAGAUUAAUUUUCGGUAACCGCGACAAGAAAUUGCUCAAGCUUCUUGGAUGAGAAUGAUUCAGCCAUUUAAUAUUAUUCUUUCCAUAUAUCGGACAUAUCCCAAAGUUCAAACCCAUAGCUUUUCUCGCUGCAAAGAUCUCCAUCCAAUUCCGAAGAGCGAUGUUAUCCUGUAAUAUAAAAUUUUGUGUAUCAUCACUAAAACCUCUCAACGCAGGGUUUAACACUAUGGGAAGUACAUCAUGAUCUUGCGCACUUACAGGUACAAAACGUUCUAGAUUAUUUAAUACCAUCAUAGAAACAUCAUUUUUCACCAUCAGAUCUAGGCUGCUAUCAAAGCCAAUAACCAAAGGAUCGAUUAUAUAUCGUGCACCUCUUACGAGUUUUCUUUUUAUACGCAAUAUACGAUAAAAUUCUUUAGUAGUUCCUUCAAUUAAAUGAUGCAGUCCCUUUAUAAAGCCUACAUAUGUGUCAUAUUUAUCUGGGCUUUCUUUCACUAAGCGCUGUCUACCAACUGCUAAGCACCACUCUCCUCUUGGAUCAAACUCAAACGAUAUUUCUGCUUCCAUUACCUCCGUUUCCUUCGGUUUUUCAAUUUGCAUGUUCGCUAUUUCUAUCAAACUUAGAGUCUGAGUUGGCUCUACUAUCUUUCCUGACGAAAUAACAAUGGAUAACGCGUCUAUAAGAUCUUGAACGGAAAAAAGAGUCUUAUUCUCCUUCACUUCAUCUUUAAUUACUUUAUCUGACUCCUGUACUACGACAUCUUGGCUUUCUUUAUCACCCCCGUCUCUGGCAACUGUAUUAAGAAUGUCCUUACUUUUAGGAACACCAUCUAUUGUUUUUUUAUUCGUGUUUACAUCAUGAACAUCAAGCUCACCCUUUGAUGAUAAGACUUUGUGAUCCCCAUCGUUCCCUUUAACCUCCACGUCGACUCCCUCAAUCUUUUCCUUCUCCGCGUCCUUUCUUCUCGACUUAACCAUUAUAAGUACAGGCCAAUUGCAAGUUCUCACGAUCACAACACUGUAAGUCACAACCAAAGUGUACCACCAACGUAUGGUACUGAAGUAAUUAACGAAAUGCUUCGAUCUGACAAUAUUUCUAACAGAAAAAAAGGGCUUUUAGUCCGUCACAACCAUUCCCUCUUUAGUGAAAAACAUGGGUUCUAAUAACACAUGGCUUUUCUAAAAGUCUGUAAUCUAACUUAACUAUUUACAUAUAUCUUUCUAUAUGAAGGUUUAUUUUUCAUUUAGUUCAAGAAGCAAAAUUUUGGGAUUGUAAUUCUCUUGCAUAAAAGACAGGUUAAUUUCCUGGAUAAUUGUAGAAAUAUCAAGGAAGACAUUGUACAAUAAUAUGUGUACAUUAAUUUAUAUUUAAAUAUUCUUGAUUAAGCAAGUGGGCUUUCUGACUGCAUCGGACUGGUAAAACUGGACACUGAUGACGAGAAAUGACGAUUUUCUGAUAUUAGUUCGUCAUUGAAAAAUAUGAGUUUUUAUGAUAUAUUUUUGGAAAUAAUUUCUUCCUUUAUUUAUGUUUAAUUUGUGUUUGGUGAAUCCAUUUAUUGGUUUUUUGAUCUUCUCCAAUUCUUCUUCCCGUUUUGAAAGGUUGUUGAUGUUUCAUGAGCAAGAAUUAAGUUCUUCAUAAGAAUUUUUGCUCAAUUUUCUAGUCUCCACUUCAGGCACCUCCUCUUCCACCGUGUGUGGGUAUGCAGCCGCAGUUUUACGGAUUAUCCCUCUCAACCUUUUUGAAGGUUUGGGGAGUUUCCAAAUAACAUGGCUUGUGAGCUUUACGAGUUUCGUCUAAAGGCUAUCAUGUAUAGACUUAAGGGAAGAUGUUCUUUGGUGUCCGCUGCAAAAUAUAAGUGGACAUAUGGACAUUUUGGAUGUUGUCUUAGCCAAAUAAAUCCUAGAAAUUUGGAAUAGUUUGCAAUAGUUUUUUUUUGAAAAUCGAAUUUAAUUUGAAUAAUACUCCAUUCUUCUUGGACAGACAGCUACUGAAACUUAGCAGAAUCUUCAGCAUAGACUGGAUAUCAUUGGUGGAUUUUUAUUGAAUUAAGAGAGGCGUGUUGUUAAUUUCGACACCAAUCUUGGAUUCAGAUGGUUGUAUAUCAUUGACGCCUAUGAUGAAGGAAGGCCAUAGAUCAUCAUCUCCCUAAACAAUUUGAACAUUAUUAGCAACAGCGCUAAUUGCUUCUCUUUUACACUUAACGGACCACAUUUAAGUAAAUCCUCUUUAACCCUUUAAAGCACACAUUUCCAGAAAGUGAGGUAUGAACAUUUUUAAUAGCAUUUUUCUUUAGUUGUUAGAUAGCAAAAAACAGUGCUUGCCAAAAAAAAUUUUUUUUUCAAAAUUUUGAAUUUUUUUGAGGGGUGGUUUACCGUAAAAACCACUAUGCAACGAAAAGGAAAUUAAUUAAUUAGCAAAAAAUCUAAAUAUUAUUUAUUUUGUAUGAAAUCCAAGAAAACAGUUCCUGUUAUCAGAGAGGCAUAGGGCAACUUUGCAUACGGAGCAAGCCCAUUUUGUCCUAUGAACUUCUGCUACUGUGGAACAAUGUCCACAUCUUCGAGAUGUUGUUCUGACAGGCAAAUGUUCCGACUUGUUGUAUCUUACUUCUUGUGAGACGUAAGUUUUAAAAUGGUGAACAGGGGUUGAUGAUUUACGUCCAACUUUUUCUCUCUGUGGAAUGCCGAUAAGAGAUAUUGCAAUAGCAAGGCGCAAUUGCUUGAGUGUAAGCUUUUUUCCUUCCGUAAGUUGUGAGUAGAUGAUAAAUGUAUUUACCACCGUCGUGUCCAACAUGUGGAAAAAUAUACGGUGCCACCAUUUGCGCGACUUUCUAUCAAUACAAUAUAUUGUUUUUAACAUGUCUGCUUUGUCCACACAACCCAUGUGUUUGUUGUAGUCCUGAACAACUGCUGGACAAGCGAUUUGUUUCGUUGAACCGUCGUGUUCUUUUCUCCUCACUGAAGUUUCUGUCAAUGGACUGUGCAUGUUUGAAAGAAAAUGUAUUCCUUUUCUGUCUUUCCAUUUUGUAGCCGUUAUACCAGUACGUGUUGAUCUCCAAGCAAAAUUGCCACGAAUCAUUUCUUUGUCAGUUGGAAAAUCUUUUGGAAAAUUCUUUCUAUUUGGUCUGGUAGUAGCAGCUGCAUUGAUUUUAUUUUGUUGGAGAUAAAUAAGUAGUUCUACUGAACUGAAAAAAUUAUCGAAAUAUACUGAGUAAUUUUUGCCAACUAAGUCUAUUGUCAAUUCUUUGACUACUCGAAGUCCAAGAUUUUUUUCUACGAUAUCUUUUCUUUUUCCUUCGUAAAUUUGAAAUUGUACAACGUAACCAUAACUAUCUGCACGUACCCACACCUUAUAACCUCGCUUAGUGGGUUUAUCGGGCAUAUAUUGUUUGAGACAGCUUCUGCCCUUGAACGGAAUCAUCGAUUCAUCUAUUGCCUGAAAUUCACUUGGAGCGUAGCAGGUUUUGUACGUCUCUGUUAACUUUUCUAACAGGGGUCUGACUUUGUAUAAUUUAUCGUAAUUUGGAGAGUCUCUGGUUGGCAUUUUAGAAUUGUCAUUUAUAUGCAAGUUUGAAAGAAGCCAACCAAAUCUGUUCACAGACAUAGUAGAUGCUAUGUAAGAAUCUCUAAGUUCCAAUGACGACGACCAGUAAUCCCGAUAAGAGGGUAAUUUUUUUAUUCCCAUAAGGAUAUUAACUCCUAAGAACUUUUUUAUUUCUUCCUUGUUUGUAGGAUUAGUAAUUAUGCCACCAUUAUUCUGCGUGUUAUAAAGAUUAGUUUCAUAAACCAGUGUAUCUAUAAGUUCCUCAGUAAAUAGUGACAGAAAUACAUCAAUAGGUUCUUCUGCUUCUAUGUUUGGACCUGUAUGUUCCCUAAACUCAUUUUUUCUUGCUAUGUUUGGAUAAUCAUCAGACCAAGUAAUUCCUUUCCUGUAAAGUCUAACAGCAAUGGGAGUAUCGUCGUCAGAAACGUCGUGAUCAUCAUUCUGAGACUGGUUGUCAUCAUUUUCUUCAAUGCCAUUAAUGUCUAAUCAGUAAUCAUCAUUUGGCUUAGUAUACAAAAAAUCAGAGCAAUAUAAACUCACCUGGAACAUGUUCUUCUGGUUGCAAAAUGUUAUCUACACGCUGUAAUACAUUGUCUGUACCAAUUACAUACGUGCCUUCAAUAUCUUCAUCCACGUCAUCUUCUUCUUCAUCAAUAGACUCUGGGUCGGAUGGUAUUUCAUCUAGAACGUCAACAAGUCUUUGAAGACGAGCUUGCUCUUCCUCAAAGAAAGGCAUUACUCAUGUCUGUAAAAAAUAAAACAUUUACUGCAUAGUGGUAUCACUGUACAACCACCUGCAUAUUACUAUUUACCUCAAAAUGUAAACAAAAAUUGAACAUGCGCCUGUCGUUACAACAAGUAAAAUAUUUAUAGCAACAAUUUACAGAAUUUACUUACCCUUAUUUAACUGUGAAUAAACGAUAAUAAUAAUAAAAUGAGUCACUAUCACGACACUGAUACAGCAGGAGCAAGUCCCAAUACAAACAUCGACACAACUUUAAUUUCGAGGUUGAAAAAAGUAUAAGUUAGGCAAUUUCUAAAACAGGCAUCUUAGUACGCAUGCCUUAUGUGGUUUCAGCGAGAUACCAGAAUGCUGAAUAGGAGUAAAAUAAAUUUAAAAAGGUGGUUUUACUGAGUAACCACUGUGCUUCAAAGGGUUAAGGCAAUCUUUCGUCAAAGCUUGUCUUAAAGACAACUUAGCAAAUUGUUCAAAUUGUGUCUCAUCAUUUUUGAUUAAUUUUGAAUCGGCAGGCCUAAUAAUUACAUCAGAAAUGAUAUUGAUUUUAGGUUCAUCCCUAUUCAAACCACUACGGUUUUUACAGGGAUUAAUAGUUUAAGUAAUAACGUUUGUUACUUGCUACUUACAGAUGUCCUAGUUGAGGGACCGGGACACAGCAACUCUAUUACAGUUAACUGACUAUAAAAAAACCUUCUUCAAGACAAUCCUCUCUUUUGUUCUUUUUGGUCUUUUCUAACUUGAUUAUUCGAAUACAUGAGACGGGUAAAAUUUUCUUAGAAAACCUAGUGAUUUUUAUUCUUGUGCUAAAUAAAGCUACGCUUAAAUAAAAAUACUUUAAACUAAUAACAUGUACGCCUUCCUUAGUUCUUCUAUAUCCACAAUUAUUCCAAUACGUACUAGUAAACAAAAUUAAGUUAAUUAAUUACAUGCACGCCUUCUUCAGAUCUUCUAUAUCUACAAUUUUUCUAAUAGGUACUAAUAAACAAAAUUAAGUUAAGUUUGCGGGGCUUUCUAGGUCGCCGACGCCUCCUUGAUCGUAAAAUGGGUGAGCGAGGGGGGUGGGUGGAAUGAGGUCGCCUUUGUCUGCGACAUCAACCUUUCCACCCUCCACCCUAUUCUCAACCUUGUUAUUAAAUUGCCACUAGCCAGUGCGUCAGUGACACUCUGAGUAAUAAUACUCAUCGGAUCGAUCGAUGUUGGAGGUUGAGGAAGUGGUGUGAUGUUAGUUUCGACAUCAACCUUGGAUCCAGAAGGUUGCAUGUCAUUGACGCCCUGUGAUAAUAUCAUAGGUAACGAUGGUGGUGAUGGUUGUGGUGAUCGAAUGAUGUUAUUUUCGACCUCUACCACAGCCAAUCUCUGGUAGAACAUCAUUUUCCUCAAUAAUCGGUGAAUUGGGUUGAGGGGGUUGUUCAACGUUACUGUUGAUAAUGUUUUCUAGGUUUAUCCCUAUUCAAAACAUUACGGUUUUUAUAGGGAUUUUUAUCUUUUCUCAACGCUUUUGCCAACACACAGAUACAGCCAACCUUUUUAUCCUUUGCAAAAAGGGUUAAAGAGAUCUCUGAAGAAUUAAUCAUUUUCAAUACCAUGUUGAGGCAGAUAUUUUGUAAAUGAUAAUGAAGGUUCUUGUGAUGUACGAAUCCAUAUUUUUUAAGUAAUUCUUUAAAUUCUUCUUCAUUACACGUAAUGUCAAUGCUUAGAGAAUUAUUCCACCCAUGUGGAUUACUAAUAGAAAUGUCUUUGGUGCUGCACUGUUCACACACAACCACUCUAUUGAAAAAACGUUCCCAACCACCCUCCAAGGAUAUGUGCUCUAACUGGUUGUGGAAACACGUUUCUUCCACUAUUAUGACACCUUCACAAGUAAAACGACACCACAUCUUUUUACCACUAUACUCGUAAUACUGAGGAAUACUUAUUAGAUACCCUUUUGAAUUAGCUACAAAGACGUGAUGUUGAUUUCCACAUUUUCCACCUCAACCUCGGAUCUAGUUGGUUGCAUGUCAUUGACGCCCUGUGAUCAUAUCAUACCUGACGGUGUUGGUGAUGGUUGUGGUGAUCGAAUGAUGUUAUUUUCGACCUCUACCACAGCCAAUCUCUCUGGUAGAACAUCAUUUUCCUCAAUAAUCUGUGAAUCCUUAAUAGACUGUUCUAUUAAGGUUAACGAGAUGUCGUUCGAAUAAUCGUUUUCAAUACCACGUUGCGCCAGGUAUUGCUUGAAUGGUAACUAUAAUUUAUUUUCAGGUUGUGAUGAAGAAAUGACCAUAGAACAUUAUCUUCAUCAACAAUUUGAACAUUAUUAGCAACAGCGCUAAUUGCUUCUCUUUUACACUUAAUUGACUACAUUCAAUUAAAUCCUCUUUAAGGCAAUCUUUCCUCAAAACUCGACUUGAAGACGCCUUAGCAAAUUGUUCAAAUUGUGUCUCAUCAUUUUUGAUUAAUUUUGAAUUAGCAGGUCUAAUAAUUACAUCAGAAAUGAUAUUGAUUCUAGGUUCAUCCCUAUUCAAACCACUAUGGUUUUUACAGGGAUUAAUAGUUUAAGUAAUAACGUUGGUUACUUGCUACUUACAGAUGUCCUAGUGGAGGGACCGGGACACAGCAACUCUAUUACAGUUAAUUGACUAUAAAUAAAAUCUUCUUCAAGACAAUCUUCUCGAAAUGCUUCGAUCUGACAGUAUUUCUAACAAAAAAAAAGGGCUUUUAGUCCGUCACAACCACUCCCUCUUUAGUGAAAAACAUGGAUUCUAAUAACACAUGGCUUUUCUAAGUCUGUAAUCUAACUUAACUAUUUACAUAUAUCUUUCUAUCUGAAGGCUUGUUUUUCAUUCUGUUCAAGAAGCAAUAUUUAGGGAUUGUAAUUCUCUUGCAUAAAAGACAGGUUAAUUUCCUGAAUAAUUGUAGCAAUAUCAAAGAAGACAUCUGUACAAUAAUAUGUGUACAUUAAUUUGCAAUUAAAUAUUCUUCAUUAAGCAAGUGGGCAGAUUAAGAUUUUAUAAAUAAAUUAGUGACUUUUAAGACAAAAAGUAAGUAAACAUUAACUUUGUGUAGUUUUGAAACGUAAUCAAAUACAGCAGGAUGCCAACAAGAGCCUAUGGUGAAUAGGAGACACAGCAAUUAGACAAACUGAGUAAGUAUUGUCAUGCCAGCUAUAAGAUACUGUGUGAAAUAGGAAACCUAUCAUCCGGUUGUGUUAAAUCUAUUCUUAUUUACCUUUUAUUAAAGCAAAUAAUUUUUCUGUUUCAAAUUUUUUUGUUUAAAUCAACAGUAUUUUUAAAUUAAAAAAAAACAUAAUUUUUAAUACAUUUUAUUUUUUUAUUUUUUUACAACACUAUUUAUUCUAACUUAAAAUCUAACUUAUUAGCUAUGCUUAAUAAUUUUUCUAUUUCAACACAAAUUUUUUCCUAGACUCUACUAAUGUAUUCUUAUAGGCAAUAUACUUUUCAAUCUUUCUAAUUUUUAUUUCAAUCAGCUUACAGUGCUUUAUAUAGGUUUUAUACUUUUCACUAAUUUUUGACUGAAAUUCAGUGGUCAUCCUAUCCUCCUCUGCGGGUGGUUGGUAAAGGCAUCGGAUGAGUCUUCGUCCACAUGCACCUUAAAUUGCUUCUCAAUUUCGCAAAAAUCAAUCUGAAAGUAAUUAAAUUUAUUAUUAGUAAAACAUUAGAAAAAAAUUUAAACGCCGGCGUAUUAUAAUAAAGGAUUAAAUGAGACAUUGCAAGCUGAUCUUGUGGAAAUGUUUCCAUAUGCCAAAGAAAACCAACAAUUUAAAUACAUCUUAGUUGUAAUUGAUUGCUUUUCUAAAUACCUUUGGAUGGUUCCACUAAAAACAAAAAAUGCUGAAAAUGUGUGCGUAGCAAUGGAAAAUUUUUUAUUGAAAAUAAAACCAUCACCAAAAAACUUACAGACUGACAAUGGUAAAGAGUUUUACAAUAAAAUGUUUCAGAAUUUAAUGAAAAAAUUUAAGAUUAAUCAUUAUAGUACGUUUAGUUCUAUGAAAGCAUCUAUAGUUGAACGAGUCAACAGAACGCUAAAGCAAUUAAUGUGGGAACAAUUUAGUUUUCAAGGUAAUUAUAAAUGGAUCAAUAUUCUAGAUAAAAUCGUCAACAAAUAUAACCACAAAAAUCACAGAACAAUUAAUACUACACCAGCAAAUGCUAAAAAAAGCAAUAAAAAACUCAUAUUAAAUUUGCAAAUACACACAACAAAUUUUCUGUUGGAGAUCACGUACGCAUAAGUAAACAUCGACAAAUUUUUGAUAAAGGAUAUACACCAAAUUGGUCAAAUGAAAUAUUUAUUGUUAAAAAAAUAAAGCUUACUAACCCAACAACAUAUUUAUUAAAAGUUGUACAGGGUGAAGAUAUACUAGGAGGUUUUUAUGAAGAAGAGUUACAGAAAGUAAAACAUUCAGAUAUUUACCUGGUGGAAAAAGUUUAAAAAAAAAAAUUGUAUGUCAGGAGUUAGGUCUAAACAAGACCCACAACAGUUGGAUUGAUAAAGAGUGUCAGAUAGUACAUUGAGAUGUAACUUAUAUUUUUAAAUAAAAUAUUAGUAAACUAUAUUGUGAUUAAUUUCACCCCUUUCCCUACAUAGCAAUGCGUUUCAAACUUCAAGGUCACUUAUGUAUCCAUAAAAUUAUCACUAACCUCAAGCUUCAUAUAAUUUUUAUGUUAAACAACACAGAUUGCUCAUUUAUAUUAUAUUAUCACCUACAUAACAAUCAAUCACAGAAGCAGUAGCAAUAAAACACCAUGGAUACGCGAUAUUAUAUUUAUAUUAUGUUUUUUUUUGUUAGAAAUUUAUACACUUUUAGAUAAAUUAUAGCACACAUAUUUAUUCUUUAUCUUUAGUUUUAUAUUCUCGCAAAAAUGUUUAAAAUUGUACAUUUUAAUUAAAUCAUGCAUGCUGCACGCAAUACAUCUAACACCUUCCAUAUCACUUUCACCUUUGCACGAUGGACAUUUAAACUUGAUUGGAACUGGCAUAUUUUUUCUCAUGUAGAUUCAAAAUAACUUAUUCUUCCGAUUGUUCGAUAAACUUGAUAUUGGUUGUUCUUCCAACUAUACUUUCACUAAUCAUGUAAAUGUUUUUUCCUUGCUUCAAUAUAUUGUUUAAAGUUUGAAUAACUGUUUCACUAAAUUUUUCAGUGAAGCGUUGUGGGAGAGGUGUCUUAAAUUCACCACAAUCCACGACUACUCUGUGGAGGCGGUUCAUUUUGAGAGCUGGGUUUUGGUUUAUGAUGUCAUCUUCGCUGCGGAUAACAACGGAAAAUGUAGGGACUUUUGGGAAAGGAAUAUUUAGGGACUUUAUAUUGAUAGGGUCAACAGUUAUGUUGGUGUCGCCGGAUGCGGUGCGGAAUUGGUUGAUGAUGGUUGGGGUAAUGGGGGCAGAAGUAAUUAGGAGAACGGUUCGGUUAAAAUUGACUUUAAGGGUUAGAAUUGAUUUGAGGUUUAUUGAAGUAAUUAAAAAGGAAUAGAAAGAUUUUUGAGUGGCAAUGUUUUGGGGCUGGUUUCGGACUGUGUAUUUGAAUUCGGAUUUGGAAACAGACAUGCUGGAUUCGCGGGAGGAAAUUGGGGAAACAGGUUUGAUCUGAGUUUUGUUGAUGGGGGAGCGAGAACCGGAAAGGUUUUGCAUGUUAGAGGAGGUAGCGUAGGUUUGGGGAGGUGGUAUAGAGGUUUGGUUUUUUUGUAAAUCGGUAACAGACUCUCUCUCACCGGGGGGGUGAGAGAAAAAAGUGCGUAGUUUGGGGCUCGUAAGAAGUUGUCGAUGUCGGCGUGGGUGUCUUGUCGGUGUAGUUAGUUAGUGUAGUUAGUCUCAUUGUGAGGGGCGUCUCUUUAACGAGAAGUUGAAGAUUGUCGGGCAGGUCGGGGUACAGUUUUAUGGGCCUUGUUAACAAGCGUUGCCGUUGGUCUUAAAAUGCCCCCAUUCUCUGCCAUGAUUUAUCACAUAUUAUUUUGUCUAAUGCAUCCAAACAUGCUUCCAGUCGUUGCACCGUUUUGCCACCAAAAUACUUAUAUUUUAGAGUCCUAUGGAAGGACUCCAGAUACAUGUUGGUGUUGAUGCCGGCUUGGUGCCGGUAACAGUGAGCCCAAGUUACAAUCCUCUCGUUGUCUUGAAAGUAAUGGGCUUUUAAAUAAUUGUAAAACGGAAUUUCAUUAGUGUCUUUCAGAUAUUGUAGUAAACUAUUUUUAAUUUAAAAAAUUCUUCUUUGUCUGUUUCUUUUAAAUUUAAAUCUUGUUCCACCUUUAAUCUUAUUUCUUUAUUAGUAAUUUUAGAUCUUGUAUGUAUCAACCAAUUUUUCUUGAUGUGCCUUGUACACAGCAAUCUUUGGGGAAUUUUCCCCAUCACAGUUGUCCAGGCAUUAUAAUAUAUUGAUGAGUCGUCCGUCAUUAAAUAAUUUGGAAUUAUUACCCCAACUAAUUUUUUUAAUUUUGCAAUUACAAUUUCCUGAACGAGAGUAUCUUUCCGGUUUGUAAUUAAAAAUAUCACAGGUUUCUCUUCCCUCCAAGAUUGUUUCUCUCUGCAAUGUAGUAAAUAUCCUUCAUAGUUAAUAAAUUAAGUCGGCUGCAUUCUUGAUUUUCCACAAAUCUUGCUUCCUUUAAAAUUCUCUCAUAAGUUACUCCUAACUUGAGUUGUUCAAUGAUAAAGUUUUUUUCUGUUUAUCGAUAAAGGUUGACACUUCAAUUCUUCCUUAUGACCAGCAUGGAUUUUGGUGAAAGUUGUAGAGACCUUACCAGUGGCACUGUGAAUUUCAACUUUUAUUCUGGAUGGGCACACACCAUUUAUUUUGAUGGAACCGCUAACUUUAGAAGCAUGCUGCGAACAGGAACUCUCAAAUUUGUUGUUGUUACUGCGAUGACAUGCAUAAUAUUUUGUUUUCCCCAAUGUACUUUCAGCAGUUUUCACUAAAGCAUAAAAAGACUUAGUCUCCUUUUCCAUUUUUUCUUUCCAUGCCUCAAAAUCUGCCACUGUAUCAAAAGAUAUUUCUUCUGACUUGCACUGAAUGUCAUGAGUUUUAAGAAGAUGAUCAUUAAAAAUAUUAAAUGAACGAUGAGAAAUACUGCAGAUUGGGCAGGUAAUCCGAGAAUUGCUGGUCAAGGAAUCAUUGUGAAUGUCUCUUAUAUGUCUAUUUCGAGUUGAUAUGGAUGAAAAUGAUUUUGAACACUAUGUACAAAGUGAAAAAUACUAGAAUUUAAAAUAAACAAGUUGCGCUUACUGAAUAAGUUAUAAAUAAAAUUACCUUGACAUUGUAAAAUUUUAAUUUGCCUAAUAAUUUAAUUUUAUUGCACAAAAAUAUUGCACUGUUUGCCCCCUUAACGGUUUAGAGGUUAAGCAGCCUCAUAUUACCUAUUGGCGGGAAAUGUAGAACUGCUUUUACCACUAAUAAACAUUUUAGUAAUUAUUUUUUUCAAAAUGAAUUAAUAAACUACGAGUUAUUAGCAUAAUAAUUUUAUUUUUUGAAUCAUUAGCUUAAAAUUAAGAAUCAAAAAUUAUUUCAAAGAUCGCGGUAAAGGUAAUCCAAAGUGCGCAUGCGCGCAUAUUCUCAUAAUUCGUCAAAGCUCAUACAUUAUUUGUCCGUUAUCCAACCGGAAGCGAUAUUUUAAAAAAUUGUUUCGUAGGGCUUUGAUGAGAUGGCACACAUCAAAAAUGUAAAAAAUGCGAUCUGUACAUAUUCCCUUACAAUAAAAAUAGGGUGUUUCGGGCGUCACUUUUGAGCUCGCUGCGACCUGCUGAAAAUUGGUGCCCAAGUCUGAAAUGACCGCUUUCACUUGGAGGCCGAUAGCGUACAACUUGUUGAUAACAGCAAACAGUAAUGCUUGCAAUUCCCUAGCACUACACUGUGUAUUAACAAAUACAUAAGCUAGUGCCUGCUUCCAAUUAUCAAAAAUACCGCGCGCCAUUAUUGUUAGAACAUUAUUGGCAGGCUUGUAUUCUUUGCCAUCUACUUGGUGAAAGCCCACGAUUUGAUCCUUGCUUACAUCAUAAUACAAAUUUGCUUUUAAGCUCAUCUCGUCCAUUCAAAUAACACAUUGCCGGGCUUGCUGCAUCUAAAUUCAACACUUUCAGCCGCAACAUUUCAAACACGGUCUCAUCUAUUCCCGGUUCUAUCCGUAUUUUAGAAGUAAAUCGUUGCAACGUUCUGAUGCUUGGUAGCAUAAAAGUGGUGAGUAAAAAUUUAUAGGCCAUUGGCGGCAUAAAUAAAAUUGUAAGAGCGAAUUGUUUAAAUUCAUCGCUGUAUCUUUUUUGCGAAGUAGCCAAAAGGUGCGGUCUAUCUGCAGCGAUUAAUCGAAGCGAUUAGACGUAGCGAUAAGACGCGCUGGUUGCUGGUAUGUGUAUGUGAGUAAGCGGUCUAUUUUCAGUGACAAGUCGCAACAAGUCGUAGCAAAACGCCGCGUCUCACAGUCGAGUUGCUUCGGAGGCAACUUAAACGCGCACGUUUUGCUAAUCGCCCUCUUUUCUAUGUGAAGUUGUGUAUAGUGUCAAAUACUGUGCCUGUUGAAUUUUUCCACAUUAUUAUUGUUUUUUAAAAUAUGGCGAAACAUAAUAAUAAAGGUUUUCAAAAGAAGAAGAUGAAAGACUGAUCAAUGACGUCGCUCAACAUCCUGCUCUGUACGACCCUAAACAUAAUCUAUAUAAGGAUCAGAAUGUAUGAGAUAAUACCUGGGAAGAAAUUUCGCAGGUGGUAAGCAAAAAUGUUGAGGAGUGCAAGAAAAGAUGGAAAAGUUUGAAGGAUGUGUAUUGGAAGAAGAAAAAGGAAGGCAAACACAGAACUGGUGAAGCAGCCAAGCGAACCACCAAAUGGGAACACAUGGAUGCGCUAGUACUUCCUGUGUUUCAAUAAUUUUUUCCUCUAAUGUACAAGUGGCAUGUUCGAGGAGUGCAGUUGUGCUAACGUCAAACACGGGAAGUGUUAGAUUUUCUUUGAAUUUGUUCCAGUUGAUUAUCUUGAUUUGUCUUGGAGUUGUGAUUUUUGUUGUUUGUAUGGUGAUAAUGAGCGGGAUAUGAUCUGAGGAGAGAUCCGUGUCUGUUGUUAUGCUGAGGUCAAAGGCGUUGUGUUUGUGGAGAACUAUGUCCAGUAUGUCCGGUUGGCCAGUUGGGGUAAAAUGGGUAGGUUCUGGCGGAGCUUCUAGAUUUAUGCCUCGGUUUGCAAUGAAAUGUUCAAGUAUUCUCCCUUUUGUGUUUGUAGUGGUGCAGUUCCAAACUAUGUUUUUUGAGUUUAGGUCACCAGCUACAAGUACUGGUGUGUUGGUGUUAAAAAGUUUGUCUAGUUCAUUUUGUGGCUUCUACUCCCUCAUUUGGGGGGGUAUUUGGAAAUUGUAUGUGCUUUUGGAGUUUCUGAUAAGUAUUGCAACGCCACCACCUUGGCGUCCAUUUUGAUCUCUGUCUUUGCGAUAAGUUUUGUAGUUCGGGGUUUUGAAUUUGUCUCCGGGGCGUAGAUGUGUUUCACUUAUAAGAGCAAUGUCAAUGUGCUGUUCAAUUAGGUAUUGGUCUGUUUCGAGUUUUAUGCUUAUGAUGCCGUUUGCAUUCCAAGCCAUGAUUUUAAUUGGCAGGGAGUCCGGAAUCCUGCUUUGCAUCGUUUUUAGUUUUAUUGUUUUGUUAAUUAUUGAGAGAAUUUGUUUGUUGAAAGAUUGCAUUUGCAUAUCAGUGGGGUUUAGGGUACAAAAUUCCAGGAGCAUAUUUCCAAGGAUUUGUGAGAUUUUUUUGGUUUUACUGUUAGGGUUGUUAGGGUUUUCGUCGGUUUUGGUUGUAAGAUUUUCGAUUUGGGGUUUUCGGGUGGUCUUUCCUUGCUUUUUAUUCCAGGGGUUUUCUGGUUUCUGGGUGAUCUUUUCAGGUGUGUUUAAAAUAUUAGGUCUGACAGGGCAUUUUUUGUAUAUAGAGGUGUGUUCUCCUUGGCAGUUUGCACAUUUAGGGGGGGUUGUUUUUGGUUUGGCGCAGAGAUGUGUUGAGUGACUCUCUCCACAUUUCAUGCACUUGAAUUGCGCAUUGCAGUUAAUUUGGGCAUGUCCAAAGAUCUGGCAUCUGUGGCAUUGGAUUGUGAAUCCUUUAUUUUUAAGGGGUUCUGCGGUGACGCUUAGGCCAAAUAGGUUGGAGAUAUUAUAGAUUGAUUUGUAUUCUCGUUUAAUCUCAACAAGCACCAUUUGCAUAGGCACGUUGCCUUUUUUAUUCAUUCUGGUAAUUUUCUCUGCUGGGUAGCCAAUGUUCUCUAGUUCAAUUGCAACUUCCUCACUUUUAAUUGGGACUCCUUUAAUUACUACUUUUAAAUGUUUUUCGUUUCUGGGCAGAUGAGUAUGGAAUUCGUAUUAGUUGUUAAGAAGCAGUUCCUUCGUGGCUUUAAAUCAGCGUGAGACUGGGGUUGGAUUUUGAUUCCAUCUUUCAGGGAUGUUGCUUUGGUGUAAUUUAGGUGUUUUGUUUUUAGUAGGUUGCUGACUUGAACCCAUUUGCUUUUAUCGCGAAGAAUAAUAGGGGCCGUUGAAUACUUUGCGGGGUCUAAACUUUGGGUGUUUGUUGCUUGAUAAGCCUUUUCGGUGAGAGGCUGCUCGCGCUUUUCCGUUUUGUUAGAAUCGCUUUCUCCAUCUUCAGGUGACGUUAAAGGCGCAAAUUUAUUACUAACAUUUAUUUGGAGGUUAUCGGUGUCGGGCUGUUGGGGUGGUUUUUUGCGCUUUGAGCCUUGAGACCUGGGCCUGACCGGUUCCUCCUUUACGGCGAGACCGGGGAAAUCUUCUUGAGUUUUCCUCCAAUUCUCGCAUUCUCUUAGUUAUGAUGCUCAGAAGUGAGCGUAUAUGACCGAUGUCUAGUUGAUUAAUACCGAGAGCACUGUCCAUCAUUGCUGACAUUCACUGUCCAUCUUACUCGAAUCGCGGUACGACUGAUGAGGGUUGAGGUUGAUGAAGUUUUUUUUUUUGGAGAGGGGAAAUGCAUUUACGCAUACCAGACUAGGUCUGGUUAUGUGGGACUCGGUCGGUAAAUGUGCAAGCCGACAAUACCCACUAAAACCCCUCGCGUCACCUUAGGGAUCGGAACCAUUGGUCCUUCAUCCCUGAACGCACGCUGGGCAGCCAUGCCGGUUUGCAUGGCGCCAAAAGAAAAGAAGAGGGCGCUCCGGGGAUUCCCCCGAAGUGAUCCAUUUGAUGGUUACCAGAUUCGGAAGAUCUGGGUGAGCCAUCGUCGGCAUCUUCGCCUCUCGGUGCAAUUGAUUGUUGCGAACAAACCACGGGGCGUUGAAUGCUUGACGUAGAAAUUUGUUUAGGAAGGUUUGUAACUUAUGCAUCCGAGUCUUACAGGGCGCGAACGCCCAAGCCACAGAAGCAUAAGUCAUGGUAGGUCGGAUCACUGAAUUGUACAACAAGAGCUUGUUGUCAAUUGACAACGCGUUCCGCCGACAUACGAGAGAUCUCAGCAUUCCCGUGGCCAUCUUGCCCUUCGCGAGUGCGUAGUCAAGAUGUGGGCCGAAGAAGAGUUCUUUGUCCAGAAUGACCCCGAGAUAUUUGACCUGGUCAGACCAGGGAAUAUCCGCGUUGUACAUUCGAACAAACCCAUCAGGGCUGACUCUACGUCGUGCCAACAAAAGCGCUCGGCUUUUGUCGGGGUUGACGUUUAUGAGCCACCUGCGACACCAGUUUUCGAUGCUUUCCACAGACUCCUGCAAGUAGCUGGUAGCCAUGUAGGGUUGUUUCAGUCUGGUGAGAAUCGCUGUGUCAUCUGCGUAUAUCGCCAGUGUCGUACGGUCAGUUUUUGGGAUGUCGUGGGUGAAAAUGGAGUAAAGAAGGGGUGAAAGAACGGAGCCCUGAGGGACUCCGGCUUCCAGGUCCUGGGGAUCUGAAACAGAGUUAUUGAUUCUCACCUAGAAACGGCGUCCAUCGAGAAACGAUCUGACCAUUUGAACCAUUGCGAGCGGAAUGGCAGUCUGAUGGAGCUUAUAAAUAAGCCCAUCAUGACAAACCACAUCGAAUGCUUUUGCCACGUCGAGAAACACUGCACCAGUAACUUGCUUGCGCUCGAUACUGAUGGAAGCGUGCUCUACGACUCGUAGUAGCUCAUCAGUUGUUGAGUGAUUCGACCGAAAGCCGAAUUGUUCGUCGGGGACGAUGUGCCGCUCCUGGGUGAGGUGAAGGAGGCGGGAGCGGAUGAGACGUUUUGCGACCUUUCCCACAGCCGACAGCAAGCUGAUUGGCUUGUGGUUCUGGGGAAACUUUGGGUCCUUCCCCGGUUUCGGGAUGAAAAUGACCGCUGCCAUUUUCCAACGCUGUGGAAAAUAUCUGAAACUGAACAUUGCAUUUAAAAUACCUGUCAGUUCGAGGAUGACUUUCAGCGGGAGGUUCUUGAGAGCCCUGUUGCUGAUUUCGUCUGGUCCGGAUGCCUUCCGUUUCUUCAGUUUCCGAAUCACUCCGGAAACUUCUUCGGGGGUUGUCGGGGUCAGGGGGUCAUCUGGGUCCUCGGUGGCGAUGGAUUCCACGUGGUCCUCGAUCUCUUCGACGUGGUCCAUGUCAGCGUUCGUGAGGUUGAGUGAGCAUUGUCUGCUCAGGUUCAACGCCUGAGUUGGAAUCUCCAGUCUUGGGGCCGAAGUUCUUCGUUCCCUGGUGGCGGAAGUGAUGGCGUCCCGGAUCUUCGUCUCGAAGGUUUGGACCGCCUCGUUGAUGUUUUCUGUGGAUCUGAUCGGUGGGAUUGUCCCGAAGUUGUUCACCAAGUGCUUGGUGAACUUCCUCCAAUCCACUGAGGUAUAACGACAUACCAUCGGAUCGUUUGCCUCGUUACCGAUUUGCAUCAGAACGGGGUUAUGAUCCGAGGAGAGGUCGUUUAUUACCGUCAGCCGAACCUGGUGCACGACGUUUUUGACGAUUGCAACGUCAAGGAUGUCUGCAGCACCGUCAGAGUUUUGGUAGAACGUGGGUUCUGCCGGAGCCAUGACGGAGAUGUCCAGGUGUUGAUCCGUGAAGUCGUUAAGGAUGUUUCCGUUUCUUUUCGAACGGUGGCUUCCCCAGUUGAUGUGCUUGGCGUUGAAAUCGCCAGCAGUGAUCGUUGGAGUGUUGCCGUCGAAAAGCGUCAACAGGUCCUCUUCGAGAAUUUGAAUUUGUGGGCGAUUGUAGCAUGCAAACAGGCGCAGAGGCCCAUUUGCAGUGGCCACGUGGUUGAUGAGGGUGUGACACCACUCAUCCUUAUACCCUGGUUCACUACACUUCCCCGAGCCAAUGGGGUGCCGAGAUGCGAGGCCUACGCGCUGAUUGGUUUGCAAUUCGUAGUGAACUGAGGUGGUAAAGGGAAGCGCCGUGCUUUAUGCCUGAUUGCAAUUUCUGCGCUAAGCGCGGUAUCACUAUCCGAAUAGCGUUCAAAUCGUGAUUCAUCUGUAAAAAGUACAGCGUUUCAAUAUGCCAAUAAACUUGUUCGGUGGCCCAUUGUAAUCUUUGGCGUUUAAGCUCUUCGAAGUAGACGACAUGAAGCCAGGUGCACUUACUUCUCCAAGUCGUCGCCGAACCGUUUCUAUCGAGAUAUUAAUGUCUGCGGCGUUAAAAAGUCGUUCCCGUAGCAUCCGGCUGGUACUAAAAGGCUCCCUUCGUGCAGAAACUGUUAGGAAGCGAUCUUGUGCUGGGGUUGUGGACCGUGGACGUCCACUUCAUGGUCUGUCUGCCACAGCCCCGGUCUAAUUAUAGCGAUGUCGAAGUCGUGAAAUAACACUUUGGCUCACGUUAAAAUAGUGAGCUACUUCUGCUUGAAGCCGCUCUCCCUCCCUAUUGGCUUCUUUUGCUGUUAAUCUACGCCGGUGCAUUCUUAUGUUACCACAAGUUUAACUUUAAACGAAAAAUUUAAGACUUCGAAUAAUAAUUCCGCAAAGCCACGAUAGCAAACUGUACAAAAGUCAGUAAGAAUAUAGAAAAAGAAUGAAGAUAAAGGCAGAUACAUGUUUACUGGUUUGUUUUAAUUAGGACCCAAUGCUGGGAAGUAAUAGUUUUUAAAAUAAGUGGACUUCCUUAACUUUUGUGGAGCAGUUUAUAUUUAUUAUUCAACGGACAAUCUGAUGUUUUUUACAUUUUUUGAUAUCUUCUUUGAUGCAUUUAUAGAUAUCAUCAACAUAAAAGUGAAUCAGUAAGUGUAUACAAUAACUUUGCGCAUUAUUACCAAUUGUAUGUUGUAUAUAAUCGUAAUGGAAAUUAUAUGAAAAGGUUUUUGAAUGUUCAAAAUUGUCAUUCCUACAUAAAUCAGUUUAUUAAAUUUUACUUUCAAUCUCGUCAUUUCAAUUGAAACUAUGUCUUUGUUUAAAGUUGUAAGUAAGACUGUUGUGAAAUAUAAUAGGCAGUGUGGUGGGCUAAAAACCACCCACCGUUUUGUGUUUAUUCUGGUAAAGAAUCAUUUUUACAAUUGCAUUUAAUAAGAUGAAAAGACCAAACCAAAAAUCGGAAACAUGGAGUUUUUGCACGUGAACAAGAUGAUCUCAUUUCAUGAAGAAGAAACCCAUUUAGGGAUAUAAAGUUUAUCAUUUAUACACAGUAAUAUAAACAUCGCUAAAAGCUUUUGGUCAUAAAUUCACUGACGAGAGAAGCUUGGAUGCGACCAUAAGAAUUAUUGUCACUAAUCAAAGUCCACAUAACAUGCGCAGAUUACGAAAAGUGUGUAUAAUACGUCAUCAUUCUCGCAAUUAUAUAUUGGGCUUGCGAAUAAUUUAGAAGGGAGAUAUUCAAAAUUCAUUCAGUUUGACCAGUGCCCAGAUUUACCAGUCCGACCAGAACGCCCUUAGUCUCAGAGGAUGAACUGUAAGUUUGAUUUGUUGCAUUAAAAAAACCCUUUGCUGCUCCAACUUACCCUGCCACGCUUACAAUGUUUACUUAUUUGUAUCCGAUAGAGACACAAAGCGUUUUCGCCAGACUAAAUAAUUUGUUUUUGUAAGAUAACUUUUAAA